rnacentral:rRNA from 1 species
CGGUCGGAGUAAACCGGAGGAAGGUGGGGAUGACGUCAAGUCAUCAUGGCCCUUACGGCCUGGGCUACACACGUGCUACAAUGGUCGGUACAAAGGGUUGCCAAGCCGCGAGGUGGAGCUAAUCCCAUAAAACCGAUCGUAGUCCGGAUCGCAGUCUGCAACUCGACUGCGUGAAGUCGGAAUCGCUAGUAAUCGUGAAUCAGAAUGUCACGGUGAAUACGUUCCCGGGCCUU